CCUACGGGUGGCUGCAGUGGGGGAUAUUGCACAAUGGGGGGAACCCUGAUGCAGCGACGCCGCGUGGGUGAAGGAGCGUUUCGGCGCGUAAAGCCCUAUCGGCAGGGAAGAAGAAGGACGGUACCUGACUAAGAAGCCCCGGCUAACUACGUGCCAGCAGCCGCGGUAAUACGUAGGGGGCAAGCGUUAUCCGGAAUUACUGGGUGUAAAGGGAGAGUAGGCGGCAAGAUAAGCGAGAUGUGAAAGCCUUAAGCUUAACUAAAGGAUUGCAUAACGAACUAUCUAGCUAGAGUACAGGAGAGGAAAGCGGAAUUCCUAGUGUAGCGGUGAAAUGCGUAGAUAUUAGGAAGAACACCAGUGGCGAAGGCAGCUUUCUGGACUGAAACUGACGCUGAGGCUCGAAAGCGUGGGGAGCGAACAGGAUUAGAUACCCUGGUAGUC
rnacentral:rRNA from 1 species